rnacentral:lncRNA from 1 species
AGGCGUGUGAGAGGCGUGUAGGGUGCUCCCGAACCCCCCCCACGCGUGUGCGGAGGCGUGUGGGAGGCGUGUGGGAGGCGUGUGCUCACGGGAGGAGGCGGCGGUGGCGGGCCAGGGCGCGGAGCAGGGCGCGGGCGCCGCCGCGGUGGAAGUGCAGGGCGGGCGGACACGUGCCGUCACGCGUGACCAGCACCAGGAAGGGGACGCCGAGGCCCCGGCGCCCGCGGCGCACGGCCCGCAGCUCCGCCAGGCCCAGCCGGAAGCCCCAGGGGCCCCCGGCCGGCGCUGCGGGGGGCGCACACGCGUGUCACACGCGUGUCGCAGGCAUGUCACACGCGUGUCGCAGGCGUGUCGCUCUGCCUACGCCGCCCCCAGGGCCCCCCAGGCCGCCCCCACGCGGUCCCGUGUCCUCGAGCGUCCUGCGUCCCCCGCUCGUCCCGUGUCCCCCACGUGUCCCGUGUUCCACGCGUGUCCCCCACGUGUCCCACGGCCCCGCGCGUCCUGAGUCCCCGCGCGUCCCGUGUUCCAUGUGUGUCCCGUGUCCCCAUGUGUCCCGUGUCCCGUGUCCCCUGCGUGUCCCAUGUCCCCCACAUGUCCCGUGUCCCCCACACAUCCCGUGUCCCACGCAUGUCCCAUGUCCCCACGCGUCCCCCAUGCCCCACGCGUCCCAUGUCCCCGUGUCCCAUGUUCCCACAAGUCUCCCAUGCCCAACACAUGUCCCGUGUCCCCAAACGCAUCGUGUCCCGUGUCCCCGUGCCCCCAUGUCCCUGCAUGUCCCAUGUCCCCACGCGUCCCCUGUGCCCCACACAUGUCCCAUGUCCCCCACGUGUCCCGUGUCCCCGCUCUCCCUGUGUCAGCACACCCCAUAUGUCCCGUGUCCCCAAAUGCGUCCCGUGUCCCCACACGUCCCGCGUCCCCAUGUGUCCCAUGUCCCCACAUGCGUCCCGUGCCCGUGUCCCCCCACGCCCCUGUGUCCCAUGCGUGUCCCACGUCCCCCCAUGUCCCCACACGCGUCCCGUGUCCCAUGCAUGUCCCACGUCCCCCGUGUCCCCCC